CGAAAGUUACGCUAAUACCGCAUAUUCUGUGAGCAGGAAAGCAGGGGGAUCGCAAGACCCUUUGCGCUGAUUGAGCGGCCGAUAUCAGAUUAGCUAGUUGGUGAGGUAAAGGCUCACCAAGGCGACGAUCUGUAGCGGGUCUGAGAGGAUGAUCCGCCACACUGGAACUGAGACACGGUCCAGACUCCUACGGGAGGCAGCAGUGGGGAAUUUUGGACAAUGGGCGCAAGCCUGAUCCAGCCAUGCCGCGUGAGUGAAGAAGGCCUUCGGGUUGUAAAGCUCUUUCGGCCGGGAAGAAAUCACACAGGUUAAUACCCUGUGUGGAUGACGGUACCGGAAUAAGAAGCACCGGCUAACUACGUG
rnacentral:rRNA from 1 species